GAUGAACGCUGGCGGCGUGCCUAAUACAUGCAAGUCGAGCGAACAGACGAGGAGCUUGCUCCUCUGACGUUAGCGGCGGACGGGUGAGUAACACGUGGAUAACCUACCUAUAAGACUGGGAUAACUUCGGGAAACCGGAGCUACUACCGGAUAAUAUAUUGAACCGCAUGGUUCAAUAGUGAAAGACGGUUUUGCUGUCACUUAUAGAUGGAUCCGCGCCGCAUUAGCUAGUUGGUAAGGUAACGGCUUACCAAGGCAACGAUGCGUAGCCGACCUGAGAGGGUGAUCGGCCACACUGGAACUGAGACACGGUCCAGACUCCUACGGGAGGCAGCAGUAGGGAAUCUUCCGCAAUGGGCGAAAGCCUGACGGAGCAACGCCGCGUGAGUGAUGAAGGUCUUCGGAUCGUAAAACUCUGUUAUUAGGGAAGAACAAAUGUGUAAGUAACUAUGCACGUCUUGACGGUACCUAAGCAGAAAGCCACGGCUAACUACGU
rnacentral:rRNA from 1 species